GUGUAAAACAGAGGCAGGGCCCUGACCCGUCCCCUCCCAUCACAGAGGAUGUGUGUAACCAUGAUGCUAACAUUCCAGACAGAGGCUUGGCAUUGCUUUUCCAGAUGUGCAGGAGAAAGCCUGCCUCCAACCCUCCACGGGAGAGUCUGUGAAGACUUGGGAGAAAGUCUUUGCAAGAUCUUCAGCACUUUGCUAAAGGAGACGAAAAUUCCAGCCCAGUAGGUAUAUCUUAAGCGGAGCCCAGUGACUCAAGAACAACUGGUGAUGUCAGAAGCUGAGCUAGUCCAGGCUUCUGCAUCUGCCUCUUCGAGAACAGACUUCUUUUCCUUUUCAGCAAUUUUCUUAUUUUCCCUACGGCUUAGAGGAAUCAUCCUCUCCCCUGUAUUUGUUAGAGAAUUGGCAUCAAAAAUAUUGUCAGCUGG